GAUGAACGCUGGCGGCGUGCCUAAUACAUGCAAGUCGAGCGAACAGACGAGGAGCUUGCUCCUCUGACGUUAGCGGCGGACGGGUGAGUAACACGUGGAUAACCUACCUAUAAGACUGGGAUAACUUCGGGAAACCGGAGCUAAUACCGGAUAAUAUAUUGAACCGCAUGGUUCAAUAGUGAAAGACGGUUUUGAUGUUCCUUAUAGAUGGAUCCGCGCGGCAUUAGCUAGAUGGUAAGGUAACGGCUUACCAAGGCAACGAUGCGUAGCCGUGCUGAGAGGGUGAUCGGCCACACUGGAACUGAGACACGGUCCAGACUCCUACGGGAGGCAGCAGUAGGGAAUCUUCCGCAACGGGCGAAAGCCUGACGGAGCAACGCCGCGUGAGUGAUGAAGGUCUUCGGAUCGUAAAACUCUGUUAUUAGGGAAGAACAAAUGUGUAAGUAACUAUGCACGUCUUGACGGUACCUAAUCAGAAAGCCACGGCUAACUACGUGCCAGCCGCCGCGGUAA
rnacentral:rRNA from 1 species